GGGGGCACGAUCAUCCGGUGAACUAAAGCAAGUAGGCAUAGUUGGGUGUGGUGCAGAAGAGGGGCGGAGUGGUGCGCCACAGUGGCCCCGUGACAGAGGACUCGGUAAAGCUGUCCGGGAGCUUGAACUUUACCUUGAGGGCAAAGGGGAGCUGGGGAAGAGUUUAAGGGGAAGAAUGACACGGUCUGGUUGGCAGUUUGGAAAGAUGCCUCUGGCUGCUGGGUGCGGGUUUGGAAGGAGCAGAGACAAGAGAAGGGGCUGGAACGAGGAGCCAGGGCCCCAAGGAAGCAGAGAGCAGAUGGUGGUGGAGGAGGUGGGGCAAGACCAGAAGAGACAAUGACUUAUUCUUCUCUGUCCUGUGGACACUCACUGAGGGCCACUCUGCGUCUGGGACACCAGGGACUGGCCCAAGGUCACAGAGGGCCCUAGGCUGGGGAGAAGUCAAGGCUGACCCUGGGUCCCCAACUCCAGGUUCCACCACCACAAACAAGUCUAGGGGGGGCCACCUGUACCCUCUGUGGACUCUUGCCCUCCCUGCCCCAUUCCCAGAGAAUCCUUAGACAUCGGAGCCCACCUUAGAGCUCUAGUAUUGUUUUUUAUAAAACUGGAAUCGACUUAUCCCAUAAGCUCAAACAAUACAAAGCAGCAUAAAGAACACUUCAAAACGUUGAAAUUUUACUUCUGGGGGUGAAGAACCACCCCUAAAAGAGGUGGCAGAGCUAAGUGCUCACCAGCACAGCCUCCCAGGCCCAAGUGCCUGGCGCCCAAGAUGGCGCGCACACCGGCACCCAGCAAGCUUUACACUUACUAUUUCCACAUUUUACAAUGUUUGUGAAGUAUAAUUCCCCAAAAGUGUUUUUGAAAUGCAAAGGAACAAUAAUAAACCCUAUAUAUAUUUUCAGUAAUAUCUAAUUAACGAGGUGUUUGUAAAGAUAAAAUGAGAAAAAGCUUGUGACUCUUAGC
rnacentral:lncRNA from 1 species